GGCAUGAGGAGCUCAGGGCUCAGGGCUCCUAAGGGUUGUUCCGCCUUUGCUUUUAGCUCUGUCGAGUCCCUGGAUACUUUGCUCAUCUCCAAGAUUCCCUGGACACUUCGCUCAUCUCCAAACUGCAGAAACACCCUCAGACCCUGGUUUUUGUUUCCUCACUCUGCGCUGUCUGACUUCUCCACAUCCACAGGCCCUGCGGACAUGGACGAGUAUGAUGGCCAAGUUGGGGCUUUGGAAACUCCCAUCAUGCCCAGCCAGCUGUGUACUCACUGCAAGCUUUAACUCAGCUCCAGAGCUUCAAAGGC
rnacentral:lncRNA from 1 species